GUUAGGGCCGUGUCAACUGUAGCCAGUGGUUGCGGCUCCCUCAGUCUGGCGUCAUCUAGGUCGCUGCUCAGGGAAAUGCGGAGGCCAGUAGGCUUACGUGUUUACCGCGUAGGGCAAAGCCUUGCCAAAUUCCCGGCCAGCGGAGCGGCGAGGGUGGGGACUCACGGGAAGUUAAACAGCCUCGUCGGCGUCCUCGAGGCUCCAAAACCAGGCUCUAGGCGGGGACGACUGCAGCCGUUAUGGAGGCCACCGCGGCUACGGCCGCGGCUGAGGCCUCCCCAGGUGGAGCGGUGGCCUGGAGGGGAAUCUUGAUCCUGGGCCAGCCACCUGUCAAGAGGAGGCGGAGCGUCAUGCCUCUGGAAGACUGGAUGAAUAUUCUCCAGGAGCCUGACGAAGGCGAAGAAGUCUUUGCAGAGGAAAUUGAAUGCUGUCUGAUGCUACAAUUCAUAUGGAUCCUUUCCUGGAUUGAAGCCUGACUUUUAAAAAAGGUUUCAAUAAAUUGCUUAUACCUAUGAAGAGAUGCAAAAGAACCUUCAAAAUAAAGCAAAGGACUUGAAGAAAGAGAAGGAAGACAUGAAGAAGAGGAUGUCAUUUAGGUGAAGGUGAUGGAUACAGAAUCUGAGUCUGAGGGGAGCCUGGUUGACAGAGAGACAAAAAAAGAAAUUUUUUUUUUCUGACUAAAAAAAAAAAGGAAAUUUUGUUAACAAAAUCAAGAAUUUAAAAAAAAUGCUGUGAGAGCUGAUCUAUGCAUCUGGUUUGUGAGCCAGUAUUCUGUGAUGGCUGCAGUUUUUAGAGAUCCUAGUAGCUCUACACAUCUGUCUUCUGCUUUCCUAGAACCUGGGCACCCCAUGGAUGACUCACUGCUGGUUUUGUGUGUGUGUGUGUGUGAUUUAAAAUUACAUUCAGUCAACUCUAUAGCCCUAUGGGCUUUUUGAAUAACCAAAUGCUCAACAGUUCUGUAAUCUUUCAGGUUGCUGUGAUCAGUCCCCAAGGAGUCUACACUCUCAAAGAGACUGGGAAAGGCCUGUGAGACAAUGGGAUUCUUUUUUCUAGAGGUGUAACUCUGCCUGUGUUUGCAUGCCACCUCCAGAACCACUAAAAUAUAAUUUCUCAGUGGGUGACUGAGUAAGACUGGCAGCAAUUGCAAAAGCAGAUUCAUGCCAUGUGUCACUCUUCACAGUCAGGAACUUAUUUACCUCUUGGAACUUUCCAAAGGAACGAUGAUGGUGGCGGUAAUGUCACAUUAGUAUGGAGCCCUUAAAUUCAGCAGUGUUCAACCUGAGGGAAGACAGAGGCCAUGCUGGAUAAGGAGCUGGCUGCCUCUGUGAACAUCCUACUCAAGGCAUCUUCACUGCUGUACAUCCUUUUGAAAUCCCAGAGAUCUUCAGUCUCCCUGUGGAUUAAGGAGAUGUGCAGUAUUUAAAGUGGCUUCAGGAAGGCAUGGAAGAGGACUGAGUGGGGAAAGCUUUUUGUGCAUGCUGCUGGCUACCUCCAGCGGCUGCCUCCAGCCUCCAUCAGCUGCACUCUGGGGAAGAGGAGGCUGCCUUCUACCUCCCAGCAUCUCUGGAUUUCAUGUUCCUGUCAGCACAGAGGAGCUAAAUGGCCU
ensembl:lncRNA CUTALP cutA divalent cation tolerance like, pseudogene